GCGCCCGUAGCUCAACUGGAUAGAGUACUUGACUACGAAUCAAGCGGUUAGAGGUUCGACUCCUCUCGGGCGCGCCA
rnacentral:tRNA from 2 species